rnacentral:lncRNA from 1 species
UGGAACACAAGAAUUUGACUGCAAAAUUCACCUGUUCAAAAUAAAUGAGACAUGUAAUUUCUUACAAACCCCAAAACUCGGGGGGUCCUAGGGUGGGGGUAGUUUUCUGCAGGGCGAUGACAUAUCCUGCAGCGAAGUCUCAGAAACCCUGCUCUGGGCAGUCCAUCUAUUUGUCCACUCAUGUUCUUAGACACAUCCCAGGGGCUGGCCCUGAGCUACUGGGAUGACUGGAGGAGCAUCCAGGGCUGGGGGAGGGGAGUGACUCCCACACAGCAGGUACCCGGAGGUAGGAGGCUGGAUCCACGGAAGGUUCUGAUGUCAGCACUGUCUGUACCACAAGAUGGCUUUACUGAAAUGCCGAGUGCAGGAGCUUAAUCAUGGCGCAUGUGGAAACCAGCCAUGGGCUCUCAGGCCCACUCCUGCCCUGCCCUGGCCCCUCUGUGAUGGGAGAACCAGGACAAGAAGGGGCUGGAUCAGGUGACUGGUCACACAACCUGGGGUCCUUUCACCUUUCUGGGGGUCCCUGAAGGUAGGAAUGGAGUCUGUGAACUGGUGUCAGUAUUUCUCAAAGCCAGCUGUCAGACACUGUGUCUGUCCCUGACGCGGCCGCCCAGGCUCGUGGAAUGCCAAGCGCCUGUCUCUGCUCGGGGCUGACAUCACCUCCGCGUGGGAACAGAGCCUGUGCUCAUGCCGAGCUCAUCGGGAUUGGCAGAAAUCUGCAUCCUUGUUUGGUUUCAAAACAGGGGGCCCAGAAGGAAGACUCAUGAAAGAUGCCCUUGUCGGCGGAAAUUUCAGGAGCUUGGCCCACAGCCCCUGUCUGCACUUCGGCUGUGAAGAGGCCAGAACCACGCCCGCUGCCCAAGAGCUAGGCUCUGAUGAGGGGCUGCUGCGUGCCUGGCUGGGACCUAGUGGAAUAAGAGAGAAAGCCCUUGCUCCCGUGGAGCAGGCGAGAGGCGACACGGAUACAGGCUGAGAGUGAGUGACCCAUGGAGGAAACAACAGGGAGACGGGCAGGGGGCGGUGGGGUGGGGGCCAGGGAAGGGCUCUUUCCAGAGGGGGCAUCUGUGCUAAGACCUGAGGGACAAGAAGGAACUAGCCCCGCAAACAACACAAUCGGGUGCUUUUCCCUUUGAUGUCUGAGCAGCCUGGAGUCGCUCCAGACAGGCCCGGCUGCCCCCACU